UUGGUAAGGCUCCUUUUGGGGUACACCUGAGCACCACCCUCCCCUACAACUCCAUGCAUGGACUUUUCCCAGGCUCCAGCACUUCACCCCUGGCCAUUAGACACAAGACUCUGGGGAUGGCCAGCACGUCCCCUUGCACAAGCAGGGCCCAGUGCAGUGCAGGGGUUGGUGCUGCCCUGCAGUAUGGCUCCAGCCCGCUCUCUGCACAGCCCCAGCCCUGAGAAAGUGCAAGUGGCUUUUCCAGCAGCUCCUCUGAUGGAGGAUUCUGCAAAGUUUUCAGACAGAGCCCCGCUGUUGGUCAGAGGAAGUUUGGUGAAGGCAGAAAGGAGGAAAAGAUUCCUGACAGGUUUCAUCUGUCCAAGCCAAGAAUGGUCACAUUAGAAGCUUGUAAACCUUUUUCUUCUCAAAUACAUCUAUUUAUUUUUUUAA